rnacentral:lncRNA from 1 species
CUCAGGUGAUCCUCCCUUCUCAGCCUCCCAAAGUGUUGGGAUUACAGGCGUGAGCCACCAUGCUCAGCCUGCAUUUGCUAUUUUGAUAUCUAUUACCAAAUUUUUCUUUGGAAAUGUGCCAGUUUACACUCCCACAAAUACUUUUGUCAGCAUUAGUUAGGUAUUACAUGUUUUUAAAUCCUCAUUAAUUCAGCAAACAAUUUUAUUUUAAUUGCCAUAUAGCUUGCUAUGUGUAUGUCUCUUGAAGAAUUACCUGUUCUUUUUAUUGAGGUCUUUAUUUUUUAUUGACUUGUAACUGUUCAUUGCAUCUUAAAAAUAGUAGCACUUUGUUGUGUGCUUACUGUUGUUUUCCCUCAGUUUUUCUUGGUUUUGAACUAGUUUUUGUUUUGUUUUUGUUUUUUGCCAUAUAGAAGGGUUACAAAGUUAAAUAUUUCCAUGUUUUCCAUUAUAGCUUCUGGUAGUAACUAGAAUUUACCUAAGCCCAGAAGAAUAAAAAGUCACCUGUGUUUUAUUCUGGCUUUAUACUGUUUUCAUUUGUUCUGUUAUAAUUUUUGUAUAAGAAAUCCAGGAAUCUAUUUUGCUUCUGAAGUGGCUGUCCAAUCAGGAUUUACCUUUUACCACUUGGUUGGAGAGGUGGGGGAAGAAGAGACUGGAGGAAAUAGAAGCUGAAGACAGGACUAGAUGUGUCUCCCUCCCCAGCCUCCUUUCUCUGCAGAGGUGGAGGAAUCACGGAAGCUAUCGUGGCUUUAGGUGUUGACUUUUGUCAAUGUUUGCUGAAGCCAGGAGUGAAAUUGAGACAAUAUUCCGAUUCUUGGAACCUGAGUUAGCGUUAAAGGGGAUGACAAACAGGCUGUUGUUAGGAGGUAGUUCCAUGUAAUAGGAAGAGUUUCCACCUCCCUCAGAGGCUGCCUUUCUCGUUUCUCCAAAUGAUUUCGCGGUUGGCCUAAGUUUCCUUUACUUCUCCCUACGAUGGUGUAACAUUAGCUUGAAUGCUGACGCUAUGUGGUGGUGAGCGGCAGUGGGUGUAUCUUGCCCAUAAACCCUUGGAGGACAGUGGAGGACAGGGACUGACCAACUCACCCAAGGGUCCUCUGCAUGCACAUGGUCCCUGCACAUGGCACAUAGUUGGUGCUCAGAAGGCCUUUGCUGGAACAAAGGAAAACACAAGCACCCACAGCAGUGAUGGCUGAUUUUGUCGGGUCUGCAAUGGAGAUUAGUCACCACUAGGUGUCAUGGUGAGUCAAGAAACAUUUUGGCUCAUGGUUACAAAUUAUGCGUUUACUGUAUUCAUCUUCGUGCAUGCACACAUGCAAUGUUUUACAAAGCAUCUGUUGAGUGUCUACGGCACAACACACACGUUCUGGUGCUGGAGAUCCUGCCCUGGCUGAGCUUCUGGACCUGGUGGGGAGAAAUCCACAAUGAGUACUGAGACGACCGGCAAAAGCCCGGUGAAGGCACCUAGGAGUAGGGCCUGCUUACCCUGGAGGAGUCGGGAGCAGCUUCCACAGCAAGGAGGCUUCUAAGAUUUUUUGUUCUUUGUCAGCAUGAGUACCUGGGAUCUUACAUGUAGCCCCUGCAUCAUUUCAGAAAUGAUCUCCAGUGCCCAGGCUCUGAUGCCCAACAGACCUGAAGUUACAUCCCAACCUGAACAGGCGGCUUUUGCUCUCCAGGCCUUCAUUGCCCCACAGUGGGAACAAUAAUAAUAUGCACCUUCUAGGUACCCAAAAGCACAAGAGACAGUGAACGGAAAGUGCUUGGAAGCCCCGUGCCCAGGUGGUGCUGGCCCCAGCUGAACUGCGGGGAUAGAUGUUGAGUGUCCAGGUUCUAGCAUCAUAGAACAGAAUCCGGCCUGUUGGGAAAUCCUGCCUACAAGUAUACCUCCAUUAAUUAGUGUCUUCUGUGAACAUUUUUAUUAAAAAAAGAAGAAAAGCUUCUCAA